CCUGCAUCCAAAUGUCAACACUACAUAAAACAUACCACCAUAUUCAAAAACCACACUACAGAAAAAUGCAUGCCUGCAUUCAAAUGCCAAUACGUACAAACACACCUGUACGUUCACUCACACAUACUCCAUACGAAAACAUGCUUACAUUCAAACACUGCUCGGUGCUAAAUACAUUUUAAGCUGGGGGGUGGGUGCCAAAUAUAGGAUCCGCCCCGGUUGCCAAAUGCUCCAGGUACGCCCCUGUAGAGGGAGUCUGAUCAGUGUGAUUGACACAG